rnacentral:rRNA from 1 species
CAGAGUUUGAUCCUGGCUCAGGAUGAACGCUGGCGGCGUGCUUAACACAUGCAAGUCGAACGCUGAAGCUCCCAGCUUGCUGGGGGUGGAUGAGUGGCGAACGGGUGAGUAUCACGUGAGGAACCUGCCCUGAACUUUGGGAUAAGCCCGGGAAACUGGGUCUAAUACCGAAUAGGACCGACCAUCGCAUGGUGGUUGGUGGAAAGCUUUUGCGGUUUGGGAUGGUCUCGCGGCCUAUCAGCUUGUUGGUGGGGUAAUGGCCUACCAAGGCGUUGACGGGUAGCCGGCCUGAGAGGGUGACCGGCCACACUGGGACUGAGACACGGCCCAGACUCCUACGGGAGGCAGCAGUGGGGGAUAUUGCACAAUGGGGGAAACCCUGAUGCAGCGACGCCGCGUGAGGGAUGACGGCCUUCGGGUUGUAAACCUCUUUCAGUUGGGAAGAAGCCCCUUUGGGGGUGACGGUACCUUCAGAAGAAGCACCGGCUAACUACGUGCCAGCAGCCGCGGUAAUACGUAGGGUGCGAGCGUUAUCCGGAAUUAUUGGGCGUAAAGAGCUCGUAGGCGGUUUGUCACGUCUGCUGUGAAAGCCCAGGGCUUAACCCUGGGUUUGCAGUGGGUACGGGCAGGCUGGAGUGCAGUAGGGGAGACUGGAAUUCCUGGUGUAGCGGUGAAAUGCGCAGAUAUCAGGAGGAACACCGAUGGCGAAGGCAGGUCUCUGGGCUGUUACUGACGCUGAGGAGCGAAAGCAUGGGGAGCGAACAGGAUUAGAUACCCUGGUAGUCCAUGCCGUAAACGUUGGGCACUAGGUGUGGGGAUCAUUUCCACGAUUUCCGCGCCGUAGCUAACGCAUUAAGUGCCCCGCCUGGGGAGUACGGCCGCAAGGCUAAAACUCAAAGGAAUUGACGGGGGCCCGCACAAGCGGCGGAGCAUGCGGAUUAAUUCGAUGCAACGCGAAGAACCUUACCAAGGCUUGACAUACACUGGAUCGCCACAGAGAUGUGGUUUCCCUUCGGGGUCAGUGUACAGGUGGUGCAUGGUUGUCGUCAGCUCGUGUCGUGAGAUGUUGGGUUAAGUCCCGCAACGAGCGGAACCCCUAUUCUAUGUUGCCAGCACGUUAUGGUGGGGACUCAUGGGAGACUGCCGGGGUCAACUCGGAGGAAGGUGGGGACGACGUCAAAUCAUCAUGCCCCUUAUGUCUUGGGCUUCACGCAUGCUACAAUGGCCGGCACAAUGGGUUGCGAGAUCGUGAGGUUGAGCUAAUCCCAUAAAACCGGUCUCAGUUCGGAUUGGGGUCUGCAACUCGACCCCAUGAAGUCGGAGUCGCUAGUAAUCGCAGAUCAGCAACGCUGCGGUGAAUACGUUCCCGGGCCUUGUACACACCGCCCGUCAAGUCACGAAAGUUGGUAACACCCGAAGCCGGUGGCCCAACCACGUUUACGUGGGGGGAGCCGUCGAAGGUGGGACCGGUGAUUGGGACUAAGUCGUAACAAGGUAGCCGUACCGGAAGGUGCGGCUGGAUCACCUCCU